CCUACGGGUGGCAGCAGUAGGGAAUAUUGCGCAAUGGGGGAAACCCUGAAGCAGCAACGCCGCGUGGAGGAUGAAGGUUUUCGGAUUGUAAACUCCUGUUGUUAGAGAAGAUAAUGACGGUAUCUAACGAAUAAGCACCGGGUAACUCCGUGCCAGCAGCCGCGGGAAUACGGGAGGUGCAGACGUUACGCGGAAUCAAUGGGCGGCAAGAUCGCGGAGGCGGGAUAGAAAGUCAGAUGUGAAAUCCUAUGGGUUAACCCUAGAUCUGCAUUUGAUACUGUUAUUCUAGAGUACGGGAGAGGUAGGUGGAAUUCUAGGUGUAGGGGUUAAAUGCGUAGAGAUCAAGAGGAAUACUCAUUGCGAAGGCGGCCUGCUAG
rnacentral:rRNA from 1 species